UACGUAGGGUGCGAGCGUUGUCCGGAAUUACCGGGCGUAAAGAGCUCGUAGGUGGUUUGUCGCGUUGUUCGUGAAAACUCACAGCUCAACUGUGGGCGUGCGGGCGAUACGGGCAGACUAGAGUACUGCAGGGGAGACUGGAAUUCCUGGUGUAGCGGUGGAAUGCGCAGAUAUCAGGAGGAACACCGGUGGCGAAGGCGGGUCUCUGGGCAGUAACUGACGCUGAGGAGCGAAAGCGUGGGGAGCGAACAGG
rnacentral:rRNA from 1 species